rnacentral:rRNA from 1 species
GAUACAAAACCAAUGCCCUUCGGGGSUCUCUUUGGUGAUUCAUGAUAACUUCUUCGAAUCGMACGGCCCCGCGCCGGCGAUGGUUCAUUCAAAUUUCUUUCCCUAUCAACUUUCGAUGCUACGGUAUUGUCCUAGCAUGGUUGCAACGGGUGACGGAGGGUUAGGGCUCGACCCCGGAGAAGGAGCCUGAGAAACGGCUACUACAUCCAAGGAAGGCAGCAGGCGCGCAAAUUACCCAAUCCCGAUACGGGGAGGUAGUGACGAUAAAUACCGAUACAGGGCUCUUUUGGGUCCUGUAAUUGGAAUGAGUACAAUUCAAAUCCCUUAACGAGGAACAAUUGGAGGGCAAGUCUGGUGCCAGCAGCCGCGGUAAUUCCAGCUCCAAUAGCGUAUAUUAAAGUUGUUGUGGUUAAAAAGCUCGUAGUAGAAGCUCCGGGCUCCGGCCGACCGGUCCGCCUCACCGCGUGCACUGGGUUCGGCCGGGCCUUCACCUUCUGCGGAACCGCAUCUCCYUCAACUGGGGGUGUUC